GAGUGGAUUUUGGGUCUAUAAAAGCGAGUACAUGGAGAAUAGGAAGUAGCAGCUGAAAGCACCCGAGGGAUAGAGAAUGGGUUAAGGUAGCAACUUGGAGCAACAGAAAGUGUUCAGGGGCAUUAGAGGACCCUAAUAUGGUAGGCCUGAGUCUCUUUUAGAUUUUUAUGAGAGCUUUUGUAAGGAAUGAGAGGUGAGAGCUUCU
rnacentral:lncRNA from 1 species